GAGCUUGGCGGUGUUUUAGACCUCUCAGGGGAACCUGUCUCAUAAUCGACAAUCCGCGUUAAACCUAACCUUUGAUAGCAAUUCAGCCUGUAUACCGUUGUCGUCAGGUAACUUCUUAAAAUAUAGUAGUUAGCUUGAGAAUUUUAUUAAUUAAAACGUCAGAUCAAGGUGCAGCUAAUGAAAGGGUGAGGAUGGGUUACAAUUACACAUUUGUAAAUACGGAAAACAUUUGAAAUAAUGUCUUAAAGGAGGACUUGAAAGUAAUUUUGAUUAUAUAAAUAGAAUGAAUAGGGCUCUGAAACGUGCACACAUCGCCCGUCGCUCUCGUUGAAAAAUGAGAUAAGUCGUAACAUAGUAGGGGUAAUGGAAAUUGUUCCUAGAC
rnacentral:rRNA from 1 species